rnacentral:lncRNA from 1 species
ACAGAUGCGGAAGCAUAGUUUACAAUAGCAUCCAGCUGCAGAGCAGUCUGCUGGCAAGAGCCUGGACAGGCCCUAGAGAACGAAGAGGACGAAGAUGACAAGCAGCUUUGAAUUCCUUCUGUUUUCAUGUUGAGCAGCAGCUGCUGCUAGAGCCUGGUAUGUCUGAGAUGAUUCCCACUCAUCACUGACUCUCUUGGGUGAGAGGAAGCGCCACACUCAUCCCUAGAAGAGUAUGAAGAAAAAGUGGAGGAAGCUGGAACUAAGUUCAAUGCAGCUCAACAGCUAUGAGAAGUAUGCCGCUGUGGGAUGUUCAGAGUGGAGGAGGCCACACAUGUGCAGUGUCUGCCGCAGUGAAUUUGGAAGUCUUUUGUGAAGUGACGAAGUGAAUUCGCCUACUCAGUUAGCGCACAGCUUGGCUGGAGGAUUUCACAGAAGAGGAAUAGACGAAACGUCAGUUUUGCUAUCAGUGUGCCCGGGUCUCAUUCCAGAAAGGAAGGGCUUUUUCUCCUCCUCCAGGGGAACAGGAUCUUCAUUUGUCAUAUGUUAACUCCGCUCCCUUCAAAGUUUCUAUUUUAAAUAAAAGGACUGUUUUUUCACCACAUA